rnacentral:rRNA from 1 species
GAUGAACGCUGGCGGCGUGCCUAAUACAUGCAAGUCGAGCGAACAGACGAGGAGCUUGCUCCUUCGACGUUAGCGGCGGACGGGUGAGUAACACGUAGGUAACCUACCUAUAAGACUGGGAUAACUUCGGGAAACCGGAGCUAAUACCGGAUAAUAUUUCGAACCGCAUGGUUCGAUAGUGAAAGAUGGCUUUGCUAUCACUUAUAGAUGGACCUGCGCCGUAUUAGCUAGUUGGUAAGGUAACGGCUUACCAAGGCAACGAUCAGUAGCCGACCUGAUAGGGUGAUCGGCCACACUGGAACUGAGACACGGUCCAGACUCCUACGGGAGGCAGCAGUAGGGAAUCUUCCGCAAUGGGCGAAAGCCUGACGGAGCAACGCCGCGUGAGUGAUGAAGGUCUUCGGAUCGUAAAACUCUGUUAUUAGGGAAGAACAAACGUGUAAGUAACUGUGCACGUCUUGACGGUACCUAAUCAGAAAGCCACGGCUAACUACGUG